rnacentral:lncRNA from 1 species
UCCCCUCUCACUGUCUUCUCAUAAUAUCAUCUAUGUCGGAACUCCCUAACAUUUCCCCACCGCAAGCCCCAAAAUCCGCAAACAAUCUCGCGUCGUCGCUACGAACUCGAGAUGUUCUCUCUGCUAGCACCUCUAAUUUCGUCCCUCGCCAAGCUACCCAGCACUACAAUAUUGAUUCCUUCGACCCUAGGUCAAAUACAUAACAAGGGCCCUGUUGAACUCUGGAUGCCCUGGAAGGGAAGAUCUUUGGAGGUGUCAAUCAACAAAAUUAUAUAAGGAGCUCGUGAGGAGUAAAGGGCGGGGGUGAAUAUCACCACCGAUCCGAAAAAAGUUCUCCUUUCACUCAUUUCAGCGGUUAGUUAACUCUUUCAUGCCUGCGGACAAUUACUGUCUAUGCAUAUUAUUUCUUAUUUUGGUGUUUGCAUGAUUUUCGUAAGGAAUUGGUGUUCACAUGUUAUUUUCAAUCCAUGGAGCUCGUGAGAUUUUCUUUGGGUAACACGCUUAACGUUGGCUUUCAGGCUAAAGGCCACAAAGAUUCGUAUAUAAAAUAGAGAUAGUGAUACUCUUCUCCUUCUUCUUCUUUUUACUCCCGCUCCUCCUCUCCCUCUUCGAAAUCAGUUCAUAGAGCGAAAAGUGUUUCGUACAUGGGCCCUAGGCAGCCCUUUUUUUCAUUGAACGUAUUUUUUACACCUCAAAGAAUAAUGAAAAAAAAAUAUACAUAGAGUAUACACAUAUGAAACUUCAUCAACAUAUAUUUUCUUAUGUGGUAUACAAAAAGAAGACAAAUACAUAUAUUAAAAAUUGUUGCAGUGGUGGUGGUGGUGGUGUGGCAUUUUUCACAGAAAUUGUAUCUUAUUAUGUAGUUUGAAAAUAAUUGUAUUAUUCGAUGAAUUCUUGCAGAUAUGUAGUUAACAUGUAUACAAAUUUGUAAAGAAGUUAAACUUUCUUGGAACUUUUAAACAAUAUUUCCAAAUUUUAUUCAAAUUCCAAGCUCCCUACAGCCUGUCCUCCAAAAUGUUGCUCCGCUCUCAUUCAGAGAAAUGCCCUUUUUUUGGCCAUUCAAAGGGUGCCUUUUUUGGGGGAAAUUCAAAAGUUGUCUGGUAUGGAUAACACAUGUUUUGUUCAUAUGCCCCCCCCCCCGGUACGUCUUUACAAUGCACGGUGCUCUAGUUGCACUGCAAGUAUCCUCCACUCGUAUCAUGCCCAUAACUAUGCUGCAUCAGGUCCAACCCAUAUAGCCAAGCCAUCACAAAAAUACCGGCUUAACAUUCUAUUUAUUCCUCCUUGAAAAAAACAUUCCAUUUAUUACUCCAGUUUUGAUUGCGUAACACGCACAUCCACGUGCGAGAACAUGGAUAUCGGACGGUGCGGACCAGGCGUAGGGAUUGGGUGCGUUUUGGUCGUAUCUCCCUCGGUAUGCAUUUCGGUUGUAUCGCCACCGGUAUGCGUUUCGGCCAAUCUCCCCCUUUUCAACCACCAGGGCAUCAGGAUGAGGGCGUGCAUUGCGAUUGUAUCUCUCCCUUUCCAACCAUCGGGCAUCGAGAUCAGGGGGUGCAUUUUAGAUGUAUGUCACGCAUCCACAAAGAAGAACACAUAAUAUAUGAUGCAGACGGGGGCACUGGAUGCAUUUCUGUCAUAUCUCCCCAUUUCUAACCACCGGGGCAUCGAGAUCGGCGGGUGCGUUUCGGCUAUAUCUCGCGCAUCCACAUACAAGAAUGUGGAUCAGAUGAUGUGGACCAGGGCACUGGGACCAGUGGGUGCAUUUCGGUCGCAUCUCCCCUUUCCCACCACCGGGGCGUAGGGAUCAAGGGGUGUGUUUCGGCUGUAUCUCCCAUUUCCAACCACCGGGGCAUAGGGAUCAAGGGGUGCAUUUCUGCUGUAUCUCCUUCUUUCCAACCACUAGGACAUAUGAUCAAGGGGUGCGUUUCGGCUGUAUCUCCCCCUUUCCAGCCAUGGGGACAUAUGAUCAAGGGGUGCGUUUCGGCUGCAUCUCCCCCUUUCCAACCACCGGGGCAUAGGAUCAAGGGGUGUUUUUCGGCUGUAUCCCUCAACCACCGGGGCAUAGCGUAGCGAUCAAGGGGUGCGUUUCGGCUAUAUCUCCCCCUUUCCAACCACCGGGGCAUAGGGAUUAGGAGGUGUGUUUCGGAUGUAUCCCCCAACACCGAGGCAUAGCAUAAAGAUCAAGGGGUGCAUUUCGGCGGUAUCUCCCACUUCCAACCACCAUGGCAUUAGAUGAGUACUGGCCAAAUUUACUAUUACGUACACUCCAUCAUACAUUAGCCCGUUUCAUGUCAUCACUUUCUGACCUUGGUCACUAGAGGCCAGGCCCGGCUGCCUGUAUGGUAGUGCUUCCAAAAUAACGUUGCAGCCCAUGUGCACCAUCCAAAACGUGGCCUUGCAUGAGGCUUGGCUGCUCUACACUUGUACAAUUUUGUAUAUCUCUCCAUCUUAUCCUGCAUUGCUGAUUUGUAUCAUGAAACUGAUGCGUCCUAGGUAGAGUAUAUCCAUCCAUCUCUUGCAUCGCACUGCUGAUGGAUAUAUACGAUUCCCGCAAAAAAGAAAAUUACGGUGGUUGUUUCCCAGCUAUAGUAUACUCUGCGUGUUGUGAAUAGAAACCUCCAGGUUAACUCUGCAGCCGUAUGCCCCCGUCCAAGACGUGACCUUGCCUGAGGCUUGGCCGAUGUACACUUGUACCCUUCGUAUCUCUCCAUCUCUAUCUGGAGAAACUGAUGCGUUGUACUCCUUCAAUUCCUAAAUAUAAGUUUUUUCUUACAGAUUCUAAUAUAGACUACAUACGAAGCAAAGUGAGUGAAUCUACCGGAAAAUGCCAUCGGAGGCCGAGCUCCAGUGAGCUCGUUUUCAUUUUUUAUUUUUCUGGAGCAUGAAAAAUUCCAAAUUUAUUUUUUGAACACACAUGCACAUGUAUACUAUGUAUAUGCAAAAUUUCACAGUAUUACACGUUUACAUGUGGCCUACAGGAAAAAGACAAAUACACAUUUUUAAUGGGCCUUUUAUUUUUGUUAUUGGGCCAGAAAUUUGUUAUUUUUGUACAGCCUACAAAUCACAACAUUUUUCGACGAAAUUUAACACGUUCUUGCGGAAUACAUAUAAGUUUUCAUGAUAUUUUUUUCAGAUUUUUCUGGAACUUUUAAAUACGCUUUUUGAUUUUUUCAAAUAUCGAGCUCACUGAAGCUCGGCCUCCAAAAAUCCGCACUCGUGAAUCUACACCCUAAAUACGUCUAAAUACAUUCAUAUGUAAUUCGUAUUGAAAUCUCUAAAAGAUACUAUAUUAUAUUUAGAAACAAAGGGAGUAGCUAGCAGGUGACAACCGUGUAGAUAGAUGACACAAAAUAUGUGAUGGAGGGGAAGGCGCGCGUCGCUGCACCGGGAACUAAUGCGUUGUGUGUAUCCUACUCAUGCAAAGACUGUUUGUGCUCUCGUUGCACUCGUAGCCCCUUGAUGCUACUCCCUCCGUCCGAAAAUACUUGUCAUCAAAAUGAAUAAAAGAGAAUGUAACUAGACGUAUUUUAUUUUUAGAUACAUCCCUUUUUGUCCAUUUUGAUGACAAGUAUUUUUGGACGUAAAAAGUACAUUAUUAGUCAAAUAGAAAACGCCUUUUGCAGAAAAAUAAGUCAGUUGCUGCAGACGCCAAAGCACUAACAAAAGCAGAUAAAAAUUCAUGCCAAAUCAUACCACUAAAUCACAACCAUUGCCGCCCCCACCAGACCAAACGAAACCCACGCGCACGGUGGCCAAGGGCUCCAAAUUAGGCGAGGCAUGGCUGUCGAAAUAGCGAUCGCCGAAGGCCAGACGCACAUACAGGUCGAAAGCGUACGGCCAAAUCCUGCGUCAGCACUGCCUGCCGCUUUCUGGCAUGAUCAUUUCGGUGAUGAGUGACAAGGCAGCUUUCGGGAAAGCUACUUUGCACACACAGCAGCAAGAAACACAAGGCACACAAACAGCUUGCGCAAUGCGAUUUCCAGCGAGCAGAAGACGCGUGCUCAAAUUGAUUUCCGUACCUGCACAAAACUUUUCUUCUUCUGAAUUUUGUUUCUUCUGCAAAGUUUUUCAGAUGAUCAGAAGUUCAGAACAAAGAGAAGGGGGUCCCAGCUAGCGUGCAGUGUAUCGGAACAGUCAAUUAAUAGAUAAAAUCAAUAGUAAUAAGCUUGCUUCAUCAACACCAUAAGGAAGAAGAAAAUAUAUAGACUUGCCUGAACUGUAUCGGUGAAGAUCCAUGGAUAAUGGACUUGAUUUUUUAAGCAUUUCCUGAGAUUUUGAUAUCUGAGGUAGUUGGGCCAAUAUCGCCGGCUGGUGGUACAGCCAGCCGUACGGCUGAGUUGGAUCUCGGAUCGGCCUAGGGCUCCUAACCUUCUUAUCCUCUUAUGUUGCCGCUUAUCCCUUUCCCCGUUGGUGUUGAACCGCAAAUCACCUUUCCCGUCCCAAAAAAGAAAGGCCUGCCCUAUGGUGAUGCCGGGGACGAUGCAAGUCUAGCACGAUACACAGUAGGCUCUUCACUUCCAUCUCUCUGGUUCUUCCCAGAAAAGCAACCUCCUCAUCCACAUUUCUGGAUACCUUCCCAUAGCCUUUUCCAUGGCCUACUUACUAUACAUGCUCUUGCCACCUAGCUCGAAGCCCAUUGGUCAGGCAUGCCACAAGAAGGAAGUUAGGCCAGUGGCUGCACUGCACUUCCUGUUGGAAUUUGCUAGUGGGCUUUUGGCUCAAAGCCCAACUAAAAUUCUGAAUUUUUUUUGGCCCAUUCAUGCACACAUGUGAGUGGAGUGAGUGAGGCUAAAGUUUAGUUUCACCUCAUAAGUUGAAAGAGAGUUGCACCUCUUUAUAAGGUGAGCUCUCCUACCACUUGUAUGAGCAUGAGAAGAGGAGACCUACACGCGCGCUCCUCCGCCUCGCCUCAUCACGACGCGAUUGCGCCGCGGGUUGCGGGAUUGAGCCGAGCCAAGGACAGAGCUAUGCACGUUGUCUAUAUUUUUGCUGCUCGGGAAAAAUUAAUGAGUCAUAAAUUAAUAACGGAAAUGUUAACGCCCACACGUGUGGCAUGGCGUCAACUCGACCACACGCGCUUAUCACCGUCCACUGCAUUUCGCACGAAUCUUGACACGAUGCUGGGAUUCCGGACUGCCACGUAGGACUAGCGAAGUGUGUGGCGUGUAUGCCACUUCGCCCGCACGCCGUUUUGCCCCGACGACGACGGUUUUCAUAGUCAGCGCGUGCGGUGGAACUGCCAUCUCGCCCGCACACUAUCUCGAACGCAGUGGUUGCCAUAUUGCACGACUCGCCACUCACCCCUCCCCGCACUGGUGAUCUCUCGCUCCCUCCCCAUUUACUCCCCAACCCACCCAUUCUGCAGCGGUUCCAAUUGAUUCGGGAGGAGUCGAGAGGAGAAGGCGGCGGCGGUGGCGGAAUAGUCGACGGCAUUCGCGGCGGUUGUUGGGAUUCGCCGGCCGGGGACGUCGUCGCCGGAGCAGCUGCAGGCCGAAGGUAAGCCUUCCGCCAUGGUCACACCCAUUCCCCCGCGAUUCAUAUCCCCUUUAUGUGCUUGCUCGAUUUCCCAUCGGGAUUUCUCGAGAUCCCGGCGUUUUUCGCGGUGCGCAUGUGUUGCCGCCGGCGAGGAGUCGGUUGUUUUGCUCACCCCUCCCCGCACGGUAGCUUGUUAUGGUCUCGUCGCCGUCUCUCUCGCCGUCAAGCCGGCGAGACUCGACGAUUCCCCAACCGCAUGUGCUCUCGCAACUGCUUUUUGGGAUGGCGAUGUUGAUGCUGUUUAGUUCAUUAUGUUGCUCCUGAAAUGCUAUUGCCGUCAGUGUCGAGGCGUUUGUGUUGAUGAAAUUGAUGUUAUGCUAGUUGUGGACGAACCCUAGAUCUAUUUCAGGCGCAUUCCAGAGUUUUGAGAAUGAUUGCCAUGACAAUUUGAAACAACUGCCAUCACUGAUGGCAACUGAUUUCUGAAAUUACUGUGUCAGUUGCCUUGUCAGUGGUGCAUUUUAGGCGCAUGUCAGAUUGUAUGAGAAUGAAAGUCAAGUCAAUUCCAAUAUCUACCACCUUUGAUGGCAACUAAUUUUUGAAACAACUGUUUCAGUUGCCAUGUAAUUGGUACGACAAUGUUACUGUUUGGUUUUGUUUGAAUCUACUUUUUAGGUGCAUUUCAAAUUGUUUGAGAAUGAUUGUCAUGGCAAUUUCAACAACUACCACCACUGAUGGCAACUGAUUUUUGAAUCAACUGAGUUAGUUGCCAUGUAGUGGUGCAUCUUAGGCACAUUUUCAGAGUGUUUGAGAAUGAAAGUCAUGCGAAUUUCAUCAACUGCCACAUCUGAUGGCAAUUAAUUUCUGAAACAAAUGUGUCAGUUGCCAUGUCGGUGGUACAGUAAUGUUACUGUUUGGUUUUUGUUGGAUACCGUUUUUAUGUGCAUUUCAAAUUGUUUGAGAGUGAUUGUCAUGGCAAUUUUAACAACUGCCACCACUGAUGGCAACUGAUUGUUGAAUCAAUUGAGUCAGUUGCCAUGUCAGUGGUGCAUCUUAGGCACAUUUUCAGAGUGUUUGAGAAUGAAAGUCAUGUGAAUUUCAUCAACUACCACAUCUGAUGGCAAUUAAUUUCUGAAACAAAUGUGUUAGUUGCCAUGUCAGUGGUACAGUAAUGUUACUGUUUGGUUUUUGUUGGAUGCCGUUUUAGGUGCAUUUCAAAGUGUUUGAGGAUGAUUGUCAUGGCAAUUUUAACAAUUGCCACCACUGAUGGCAACUGAUUUAUGAAACAACUGUGUCAGUUGCCAUGUCAGAUGGAGUGCCUUUUAUCUGCCACAACUAGUUGUUUUGUUAACAUGGAAACAUGAAUCUAGCAUAUGUCUGCCCCUAUUUUUGAAGUACCCUUUAGUUAACUGCCACCACUGAUGGCAACAUGAAUCUAGCUGCAUUGCAGUUUGACACUUGCAGACGACAACUGAAUCAUUUAAGAAGCAGAGACAUGUGUUGUUGCCAUGUAUCUGCAUUUUUCUGCUCUCCCACUUUGGCUACAUUUCUGUCUUUUUAAUACGUGUUGCUCCAUUUGAUGUGUGUUUUUUGUUGCUACUGUAGCACAAUGGCUCGCGGCGAC